UGAGCAAUCUGCCCUUCCCUUUGGAAUAAGCGUUGGAAACGACGUCUAAUGCCGAAUACGACCUCCUUUCGCAUGAUCGGAGGUGGAAAGCUCCGGCGGAGAAGGAUGAGCUCGCGGCCUAUCAGCUAGUUGGUGUGGGUAAUGGCCCACCAAGGCGACGACGGGUAGCCGGCCUGAGAGGGUGACCGGCCACACUGGGGCUGAGACACGGCCCAGACUCCUACGGGAGGCAGCAGG
rnacentral:rRNA from 1 species